rnacentral:rRNA from 1 species
GACAGAGGUGCCGAGCGUUAGGCGGAAUCACUGGGCUUAAAGCGUGUGUAGGCGGACCGUUAAGUACCUUGUGAAAUCCCCCGGCUCAACCGGGGAACGGCUGGGUAUACUGGCGGUCUUGAGCGACCCAGGGGCUGUCGGAACAAGCGGUGGAGCGGUGAAAUGCGUAGAUAUCGCUUGGAACGCCGGCGGUGAAAACGGACAGCUGGGGGUCUUGCUGACGCUGAGACACGAAAGCCAGGGGAGCAAACGGG